rnacentral:lncRNA from 1 species
GGUUGUGUAUGUUGGAUGUUGCAUGGCUUGUAUUUGGACAGAAGCAUCUGGAAGUGACAAGGCGACGGUCAGGGCCGCGCCUGCUGUACGAAGAGAAUCGACUGGUUAAAAUCGAUUCAGGUACACAGUAUGUGCAGAGCAGAAAUCAAAUCCGUUCCAAUCAUGGUGCAAGAUUGAAUGUGAUGGAUAUGACAGAACAUGACCAUGGUAAAAAUGAUGGUCCAGAAACGGUCCUCCUUGUGCAUCGGAGGGUAACGAUGGGAGCCGCACUGUGUCGCAGUCACAGCCGAUGAGCCGUUUAAUAAAAUCUCUGUGUCCGUCUCUCCUUAUUUGUCU